AUAGAAAGAGUGUAAAAGAGGAGGGGAGAAUAAGUUUUCCUAUUGACAACACUUGUUCGUGGAUAAAUAAUAUAAUUUUAUUGCUUUCUGAUAAUCGAUAUAAAAAUAUAUAAGAGAUGUACUGAUUAAUUGAUUUUAUAAUUAUAUUAGCGUAGUUCGAAGCCUUCUUUUAUAACUUCAGUAUAUUGAUAGACAUUGGGACUACUUGAGUCCUGUUAUGCUUAUAUUUCUGUUGUGAGACCACCAAGAACAUAACCUCUAAAAACGGAUCUGCAGAUUGUGUUCUUUAUUUCAAUGGGGAUUAUUAAAGAUAAAAAUUUAACAUGGUCAAUUCGUGAAAGUUGGUAAAUAUUAUUAAACAUGACUGUGAUUAAAAACGAUAAAACCAAACAAUGAAUUAGAAAUAAUUAUUGAAAUAAGUUGAUAAUAAAUUAAGACUGAUUGCAAUUUUAAUUAUAAAUUUUAAGCUUUAAUUAUAUUUGGAUAUAUAAUCAAUGCAAUACUGAGCACAGUAUAUUAAGAACAUAUUUGUUUGAAAUCUAGUUUAAUAAUGAUAGGAGGACAUGAAUUUUCCUAUUAGCAUUUUACUGCUCUAUAUGGAUAUUGAAUUUAAAAAUACAGAUGUUAUUUGUUUGUAUUUAUAUAGUGCAUGCAUUUUACAUAGUUGUAUAGAACUUAGAAAAUUAUUAUAAAAUUAGUGGGAAUGGGCAAUUGUCUGUGUAAUGACACUCCGGAAGAUCUUGAAACAUAUAAUGAACAUCAAAAUCGUGCAGAGUCUGAAGAUACUAUAUUACCUCAAGCAAAUGUAAGCAUGAUAGUACCUGACGAUUCAACAACAGCAACUUUCAUGUUCCCAACAUCAACUGCUAUUGAUAUGCUUGUACUUGAAACGCUUGGGGUUAUUGGCUCUCUAGUUGAUAAUGAUCAAGAACCUCCACCUGCUAUGUCAAAAUUACAUAUAAUUGCAGAUAAAGAGGAUGGUUGGAUACAAGUUGUCAGUUCUAUGAUAAAUGUUAUUCCAAUGCACAAUCCAUUAGGUCCUUCUGUUAUUACUUUAUUAUUAGAUGAUGCACCUUUGCCUUCAAAAGAUUCUGUUUUACGUUUAUCACAUAUGUUUCAAUUGUCUCAAACAUUCGGAAAAAUACAAAUCAGUGCAACACAACAGCGAAAUAUUUGUGUGGUUUUAGGCUGCAUUGCAGAAAAAUUAGCUGGUCCUAGUAGUAUAGCGAUAUUAUCUGAUGCUACGUUAGAUUAUCUUAUUUCAAAUCUUAGAAACGAUAAUGAACCUUAUGUGGUACUAUAUUCUUUAAUCGCUUUAGAAAAAUUUGCCCAAACGAGUGAAAAUAAAAUAACGAUUAAGAAACGCCUUUCAGCAGAAGAACAAAAUCCACUAUUAGAAUUGGAAAAAUGGGCUACAAAUCGUCACUAUGUAAAACGCCAAGUUGGUUUUUGUGCGCAAUGGUGCCUGGAUAAUUUAUUUUUAAUGGAAGGUAGAAAGUAUUCUUAUGAUACUGUUGAUAUGACUGGCAUUAAUGUUAUGUUAAAUACAAAAGAUGUAAGCGAGUACCUGAAAAUAUCACCAAAUGGUUUGGAGGCCCGUUGUGAUGCAUAUUCAUUUGAAAGUGUAAGAUGUACGUUUCAAGUAGAUUCGGGAGUUUGGUAUUAUGAAACACUUAUAAUUACUACAGGAGUGAUGCAAAUUGGUUGGGCAACAAAAGAUAGUACUUUCUUAAAUCAUGAAGGUUAUGGUAUAGGAGAUGAUGAAUUUUCAUUAGCUUGUGAUGGCUGUCGAAGACUGAUAUGGUAUAAUGCUAAAAGUGAGCAAUAUAAUGAUAGACCUAGUUGGAGAGCUGGAGAUAUUUUAGGAUGUUUAUUGGAUUUAAAUAAACAAGAAAUAAUAUUUGCUAUAAAUGGAGUACGAAUAAAGCCGUGUAAUCAAGUUUUCAAGACUGUGAAGUCUGGAUUUUUUGCAGCAGCUAGUUUCAUGUCAUUCCAACAAUGCCGUUUUAAUUUUGGGAAUGUACCCUUUAUAUUUCCUCCCACUGAUAGGGUGUAUCAAAAAUUUAAUGAUUAUGCUACAUUAAAUCCAGAAGAUAAAAUUGUGCUGCCUAGACAUAUAUAUGUAGACCGUUUGAGAAGAAUUAGUGUUAUGGAAGACUCGUGUACUUUAUGUUUCGAUCAGAAGGCCUCAAUAAGAUUACUACCAUGUAAUCAUAGAGGUUUUUGUCACAUAUGUUCAAAACAAUUGGUUGAAUGCCCUAUGUGUAGAGCUACAAUCGAUGAAAUGGUUUCUGAUGGUAUAUGACACUUAACCAGCAAAGCCAUACUUGCUAACAAAAUAUUUAUACUAUAUCUGUUAUAUUACUUCACACUGAGAUGUUAUCAGGAAAUACUAACGAAAAUAGAAGAUACGCGUACGUACGAAACAGAUUAUGUGAAGUAGAAACGUUGCCAUGAUGGAAUAGAUAAACAUAUAAGUUAAAUACGAUAUGGGGUAAUGAAAAAAUGGUCUGAAGAAUUCAAUUUAAUGAAAUCUAACAUACGUGGAAUGCAGUCGUGAUAUUAUAUGCAAUUCUCUAUAUGUAGCAUAGUAUUUUGAUAGAAGAGAAUUAUGGUUUUCAACCAUGGAAUAUUCCCCUCCCCCAAAAAAAAAAACUUUAUCAUAAUUAUGAGGCCUUCUCCUGUAACUGUGACUUUUAAUACGAUUAAUGAUAAUGCUACGUUUUAAUUAAGCUAUACAAGUCAAGAUGCAGAAUCACGUCAAUAGUAAAUGUUACAAUUUCUGCACCAUCGAUUAUUUAUUUAUUCUUUUUCUCAUUGAUCAACUAUCAAUGAUCAAAUAACUUUUCGAGUAGAUUAAAUUAUACAUUAUUCUUGGUAAUUUUUAAAACAUUAAAAUCAUUAUUAAUUAUUAAUUGACUUUGGUGGCUUAGAAAAAGUAACACAUGCUACUUAUAUUAUUCUGCUUCAUAUUUUAGGUAGGUUUUACCUACACAAAUAUUGUUAAUUAAAUAUUUUUAAUAUUUUUAAUUAAAUGCCUAAUUGUAAAUGAUAACACACAUAGAUAAAUACAUAUUUUUUUCUACACUAAAGCAUUAUAAAA
rnacentral:misc_RNA from 1 species